CCCUUAGAUGUUCUGGGCCGCACGCGCGCUACACUGAUGCAUUCAACGAGUUUCUUCCUGGUCCGAGAGGAAUGGAUAACCUUUUGAAAGUGCAUCGUGAUAGGGAUAGACUAUUGCAAUUAUUGGUCUUCAACGAGGAAUUCCUAGUAGACGUAGUUCAUCAGACUGCAUCGAUUACGUCCCUGCCCUUUGUACACACCGCCCGUCGCUCCUACCGAUUGAAUGCUCAGGUGAGCCAUUCGGACUUUCAUCAUGCUGGUUUCCAGUUUUGAUGAAGGAAAGUCUUGCGAACCUUAUCAUUUAGAGGAAGGAGAAGUCGUAACA
rnacentral:rRNA from 1 species